GAUGAACGCUGACAGAAUGCUUAACACAUGCAAGUCAACUUGAACUUCGGUUUGGGUGGCGGACGGGUGAGUAACGCGUAAAGAACUUGCCUCACAGCUAGGGACAACAUUUGGAAACGAAUGCUAAUACCUGAUAUUAUGAUUAUAUGGCAUCGUAUAAUUAUGAAAGCUAUAUGCGCUGUGAGAGAGCUUUGCGUCCCAUUAGCUAGUUGGAGAGGUAACAGCUCACCAAGGCGAUGAUGGGUAGCCGGCCUGAGAGGGUGAUCGGCCACAAGGGGACUGAGACACGGCCCUUACUCCUACGGGAGGCAACGGUGGGGAAUAUUGGACAAUGGACCGAGAGUCUGAUCCAGCCAUUCUGUGUGCACGAUGAAGUUUUUCGGAAUGAAAAGUGCUUUCAGUUGGGAAGAAAAAAAUGACGGUACCAACAGAAGAAGUGACGGCUAAAUACGUG
rnacentral:rRNA from 1 species